rnacentral:tRNA from 1 species
AGUCAGGUAGCCUAGUGGUUAAGGCAGCCCAUGUAUGUUGGGUUCAGAUCCAUUGGAUCUGGUUGCUGGUUCAACUCUAGCCCUGACCA